rnacentral:lncRNA from 1 species
AUUUGAUCAGGUCAGUGAGAGAGCAUAUGCCCUGGUAGAUUCCUGAGAAAAGGAACAGGAGGAUGAGAGGUUCAAUGUUUUACACAUUGCUGGUCUGAUAGCUCAGCUUCAUUCACAGCAUGGUAUAUCAGAAAGGACUCUGGAAGGGGACUGUAGUCUGAACUCCGGGGCUUUCGCACCAUUCACCUUGGGCAUGACUCACACCUAUCCAGGCCUCUGUAGUAACCUGGAUCUGCUUAUCCUUGAGCACAACCUGAACCUCUCCCACCUGGGGACCUCUCAGAGAGACCAUGCCACAGAGUGAUUCCAACAUAAACUCCGGAGCCAGCCCAACCGGGUCUCAAUCUCCGCUCCAGCAGCUAUAAGCUGUAGGAUCUUGGAGAAAUUACAUAUCAUCUCUGUGCUUCAUUUUGCUCAUCUGUAAAUCGGCUAGUAGUAAUAGCAGCUGCCUUAGAAGUCUGUUAGGAGCUUUAAAUGGGUUAACAUUUGUUAAUCCUUGGAGAAGUGCCUGGCGCACAGCAAGUGCUCCCUGAAUGUUUGUUAAUAAAUAACUUCCAUGUCCCUCCAAUGCUUCUCACUCUCCUUUUUCUCUUCUUUCUUCCUCUGUGCUAUGUGCCACGUGUUCCUUCUCAGGAAUUUUCUUUUGCAAUCAAUAAAUUAUUUAAAAUCAAAACCCUAAAAGUCAUUCGCUAAUUUUCCUAUUUUAUCAUUUUCAUUGCCCACUUGGUCUACCAGUUCUGACUCCUAAUGC